rnacentral:rRNA from 1 species
CAGGCCUAACACAUGCAAGUCGAACGGUGAUGUCAAGCUUGCUUGACGGAUCAGUGGCGAACGGGUGAGUAACACGUGAGCAACCUGCCCCUAACUCUGGGAUAACCCCGGGAAACCGGAGCUAAUACCGGAUAUGAGCUGAUACCGCAUGGUGGAGGUUGGAAAGUUUUUCGGUUAGGGAUGGGCGACGCGGCCUAUCAGCUUGUUGGUGGGGUAAUGGCCUACCAAGGCGACGACGGGGAGCCGGCCUGAGAGGGCGACCGGCCACACUGGGACUGAGACACGGCCCAGACGCUGACGGGAGGCAGCAGUGGGGAAGAUUGCACAAUGGGCGAAAGCCUGAUGCAGCGACGCCGCGUGAGGGAUGACGGCCUUCGGGUGGGAAACCGAUUGCAGGAGGGAAGAAGCGAAAGUGACGGGACUGACAGAAGAAGCACCGGCGAAUGACGUGCCAGCAGCCGCG